AUUGAACGCUGGCGGCAUGCUUUACACAUGCAAGUCGAACGGCAGCGCGGGCUUCGGCCUGGCGGCUAGUGGCGAACGGGUGAGUAAUGCAUCGGAACGUUCCCAGUAGUGGGGGAUAGCCCGGCGAAAGCCGGAUUAAUACCUCAUACGACCUGCGGGUGAAAGCGGGGGACCGAAAGGCCUCGCGCUAUUGGAGCGGCCGAUGUCGGAUUAGCUAGGUGGUUGGGUAAAGGCUUACCAAGGCGACGAUCCGUAGCUGGUCUGAGAGGACGACCAGCCACACUGGGAAUGAGACACGGCCCAGACGCCUACGGGAGGCAGCAGUGGGGAAUGUUGGACAAUGGGGGCAACACUGAGCCAGCCAUGCCGCGUGCGGGAAGAAGGCCUUCGGGUUGUAAAACGCUUUUGUUCGGGAAGAAAUCCUCUGGGCUAAUACCCCGGGGGGAUGACGGUACCGGAAGAAUAAGCACCGGCUAACUACGUA
rnacentral:rRNA from 1 species